rnacentral:rRNA from 1 species
UCAGACGAUGCGUCAUGCAUAUCAAUAAGCGGAGGAAAAGAAACUAACAAGGAUUCCCCUAGUAACGGCGAGUGAAGCGGGAAGAGCUCAAAUUUGAAAUCUUAAAGGGUUUCCCUUUACGAAUUGUAGUUUAAAGAAGUGUUUUCUGCUGAGGUUUUGGUAAAAGUUCUUUGGAAUAGGACAUCAUAGAGGGUGAGAAUCCCGUAUUUGACCUUUACUUUCAACUUUGUGAUACACUUUCAAAGAGUCGGAUUGUUUGGGAAUGCAGUCCAAAAUGGGUGGUAAAUUUCAUCUAAAGCUAAAUAUUGGCGAGAGACCGAUAGCGAACAAGUACCGUGAGGGAAAGAUGAAAAGAACUUUGAAAAGAGAGUUAAACAGUACGUGAAAUUGUCAAAAGGGAAGCGUUUGACACCAGUGUUGUUUUUCUGAAAAUCAAUUAAAGAACUGUUUAUGCUAAGUUGUUUAGACUUUAUCAGCUAACUGUUUAGUUUUGAGCUUUUCUUUAAUGCACUUUUCAGUUAACAAGUCAACAUCAAUUUCUUUUGCUGUAAAAAAGCUUGAGGAAGGUGGCUUGAGAUUCGUCUUAAGUGUUUAUAGCCUCUUGCCUAUGCAGUCGGAGAGAUUGAGGUCUGCAGCGUAGAUCCUUCGGGGCUAAAUGCAUUUGUGCUAAGUUAUAGCAUUUUAUAGACAACUUGUUGACUAUGAUUUGUCUUGUAGCUUACUCGCUUAUGUUAUUUUACCUACGCUUAGGAUGUUGAAUCUGUGCGAGACUAC